GCAGCGGAGCGUGUGGUUUAAUCGUUGCUACACGAAGAACCUUACCUGGGUUUGACAUAUAGGUUGUAGGGAACUGAAAGGGACCGACCGUUCGGGAGCCUAUACAGGUGUUGCAUGGCUGUCGUCAGCUCGUGUCGUGAGAUGUUCGGUUAAGUCCGCUAACGAGCGCAACCCUCGUCGUAUGUUAUAUGUGUCAUACGAGACUGCCGGUAAAAGCCGGAGGAAGGUGAGGAUGAUGUCAAGUCAGCAUGACCUUUAUAUCCAGGGCUACACACACGCUACAAUGGUCUGUACAAUGGGUAGCCAAGCCGCGAGGCGGAGCCAAUCCUGAAAGCAGGCCUCAGUUCAGAUUGCAGUCUGCAACUCGACUGCAUGAAGCCGGAGUUGCUAGUAACCGCAGGUCAGCAAUACUGCGGUGAAUACGUUCCCGGGUCUU
rnacentral:rRNA from 1 species